rnacentral:sRNA from 1 species
CUCUCCCCCAGUGGUUUGGCAAUCUGGUAACAAUGAAGUGGUGGAAUGACCUAUGGCUAAAUGAAGGUUUUGCCACUUUCAUGGAGUAUUUCUCUUUGGAAAAAAUAUUCAAAGAGCUUUCUAGUUAUGAAGAUUUCUUAGAUGCUCGAUUUAAAACCAUGAGGAAAGAUUCCUUAAAUUCAUCUCAUCCAAUAUCAUCAUCUGUUCAGUCUUCAGAACAAAUUGAAGAAAUGUUUGAUUCUCUUUCCUAUUUUAAGGGAUCUUCUCUCUUGUUGAUGCUGAAAACUUACCUUAGUGAAGAUGUGUUUCAACAUGCUGUUGUCCUUUACCUGCAUAAUCACAGCUAUGCAUCCAUUCAAAGUGAUGAUCUGUGGGAUAGUUUUAAUGAGGUCACAAACCAAACACUAGAUGUAAAGAGAAUGAUGAAAACCUGGACCCUGCAGAAAGGAUUUCCUUUAGUGACUGUUCAAAAGAAAGGAAAGGAACUUUUUAUACAACAAGAGAGAUUCUUUUUAAAUAUGAAGCCUGAAAUUCAGCCUUCAGAUACAAGGUACAUGCCCUCUUUCUUUUCAUGCCAUCUCUUUUGCACUCUCAGGUGGAAAUAUUUUUAAGUGUUUUAUAAUCAUAAGUUCUUGUGAAACCUAACAAGAUUAUCCCUUCCUAGGAAUAGCUUAACAAAGUUAACCUUCCUACCAAAUUAAAAAAA